rnacentral:rRNA from 1 species
UACGGAGGGUGCAAGCGUUGUACGGAUUUAUUGGGUUUAAAGGGUGCGUAGGUGGAACUGUAAGUCUGAUUUGAAAGCAAGCGGCUUAACCGUUUGAUGUGGUUGGAAACUGUGGUUCUUGAAUGGGUUGGCGGUAGCCGGAAUGGGUCAUGUAGCGGUGAAAUGCAUAGAUAUGACCCGGAACACCGAUUGCGAAGGCAGGCUACUACGACUUGAUUGACACUGAGGCACGAGAGCAUGGGUAGAGAACAGG